rnacentral:rRNA from 1 species
GUGCCAGCCGCCGCGGUAAUACCAGCACCCCGAGUGGUCGGGACGAUUAUUGGGCCUAAAGCAUCCGUAGCCGGUACUGCAAGUCUUCCGUUAAAUCCACCUGCUUAACAGUUGGGCUGCGGGGGAUACUACAGAGCUAGGAGGCGGGAGAGGCAAGCGGUACUCAGUGGGUAGGGGUAAAAUCCGCUGAUCCAUUGAAGACCACCAGUGGCGAAGGCGGCUUGCCAGAACGCGCUCGACGGUGAGGGAUGAAAGCUGGGGGAGCAAACCGGAUUAGAUACCCCA